rnacentral:rRNA from 1 species
UGGGGAAUUUUUGGCAAUGGGGGCAACCCUGACCAAGCAACGCCGCGUGGGUGAUGAAGUCUCUUGGGACGUAAAACCCUUUCGACGGGGACGAAACCGCAAGGUUGACGGUACCCGUAGAAGAAGCCCCGGCUAACUCCGUGCCAGCAGCCGCGGUAAUACGGGGGGGCAAGCGUUGUUCGGAAUUACUGGGCGUAAAGGGCGCGUAGGCGGUUCGCUAAGUCGGAUGUGAAAACUCUGGGCUCAACCCAGAGCCUGCAUCCGAAACUGGCGGGCUAGAGUUCUGGAGGGGGUAGCGGAAUUCCUGGUGUAGCGGUGAAAUGCGUAGAUAUCAGGAGGAACACCGGUGGCGAAGGCGGCUACCUGGACAGAAACUGACGCUGAGGCGCGAAAGCUAGGGGAGCAAACAGGAUUAGAUACCC